ensembl:ncRNA
UGCAAUCUACGCCACUGGCUUACG